GGGUGCUUGCUAGCAAUCCAUUUGAUGUGAGUUCAAGCCCCAGAACCUUCAUGGUGGAAAAGAUCAUUGGCUCCUGCAGACGUAGACCAUGGUGGCCACUCGUGUCAUACCCAGCACACAUGCACGAUAAAUAUAUGCAAAGUUUGAUGGUUGUUUGCUUGUUUGUUUGAGACAGGGUCUCUCUUUGUAGCUGUGACUAUCUGGAACUCAAUCUAUAGACCAGGCUGGCCUUGAACUCACAGAGAUUCACCUGCCUCUGCCUCCCAAGUGCUGGGAUUAAAGGUGUGCACCACUACCCUGCCAAAGAUUUUAUUUUUUUUAAUGGCAGACACUUCAUGUGAAUUCAUAUUUUUUGGUUGCUCCAAGUUGGUUUUUCAGAAAGUGUAGAUGAAAGGUACUUCCAGAUUUAAGAUUCCUAUCAUCCAUGCAUUGUUGAGAAAUGUGAGCUAUCAGAUUUUAGUGAACUCUCAUAAGAGAGAGGCUGCAGCAGACAUGUAAAAGAGGGUGAGUUCUCUAUGGGACAGUUCAUACCUUCUGGAACAGCUGAACUGAUUUAUAACCAGUUAUCCUAAAAGCUUCCUAGUGGGUGCCUAAAGUUUAGUUUUCACUGGUUCUGAAAGUUUCAAACACUAAGGGAAAAUGUUGGGUUAUAUAUUUAAACUAUGGAGCUCUAAGUCAAGAUCAUUAAAAAUGUAGUCAUUUCACAGAGCUUCAGUUUAAUGCUUGUACAAAUGAACUCUCCUGUGUUUAGGCCAAGUCUGAAGUGGGAUCGAGCGUGUCUACAGUACUGCUGUGAGUAUGAUUUCAAAACUAUCUUACGUGAAUUUUCUAUUAGCUAUUUCCAAUGAUUUGGGGAGAUUUCUUAUUAGUUCCUUUCUUAAGAAGUAUGUCUGAGAAGUAGUUUUCACCUCCACAAUUAAUAGCUGCUUAUGCACACUGUAUUGCCAAGUGCUUUAGCUUUCCACUAAGAAAAGGCUUGAGGCAAGCCGUAUCACAGUAGUGAGGCUAGUGGGAGCCUGGCCAGUGCCUAAACCCGCACAUUCCACCUGCAUGUAAAAUUGCCCAUACGGUGGUGUCUGAAAAUGACUUGCUCUUCCCUAUGGUUUCCUAUUAUCUUUCUCUUAGGGACGUUGUUGGAGCAUUGCAUUCAUCAUGAUUUGAACAAUUUCUUGUUAUUUUGGUUUGAAUUCUGCUCAUUUAAUCCUUAAGAGCUGAGUGCGUGUACUAUCUCUUAUGACUCCCUUUUAGCUGUCGUAAGCUUUAUUUUUGACUUUCAUAUUUUUAACAUCCAACCUUAUUAGAACCAGCUUAAGCAAAUAUAUGUCAUAUGUAUUAACCAAUGGUUUUCUUUGAAGAAUGGAUUAAUGUUUGCUUUAAAACCUACAGAGAUUAAGGCACUUGAAAACUAUCCAUGUCAACUUUAAAACUUAUCAAUACCAAUUAUAAUUCUUCAAAUAUAAAUUUUAGAAUAAGUUUUUAUAACAUUAAAAUGGUCUCUUGAUUUUUGGUUUGGAACUCUCUGGACUAUGUAAAAGAAAGAUCUACCUAUCUACCCACCCACCUACUUAUCUACCUAUCUACCUAUCUAUCUACCUAUCUAUCUAUCUAUCUAUCUAUCUAUCUAUCUAUCUAUCUAUCUAUUGUCUUUUGUUUGUGUAUCUAUCUGUCUGUCUGUCUAUUUGUCUGUAUGUCUGUCUUAGACAAGGCCUAGCUUUGUAGCCCAAGCUAUCCUGUAACAAGCAAUCCUCCUGCCUUAGAGUUAUACACCUGUGCUCCCAUUCUAAGUGGUUCUCAAUAUAUCCCUCACUCCCUUUAUUUUUUUGGACUUAGGGUUUCAGUAUACAGCCCAGGCUGCUUUUGAACUCACAAUUCUCCUGUCUCAGCUUCCAGAGUGUUGGUGUACCACUAUCUUUGAUAUUUUUUUGUUUUUAAACAUUUUGGCCUAUUCUAAAAAAAAAAAGGAUAUAUAAUCAUAGACAUUUUUAAAAUACAAGCAAGCAAAAAUAGGAAAGUUAAAUGACAGUAACUUCAACAUGCAGACAUAAAUGCUGUUACUGAUUCGUUAAUGUUUUGUGUGUACCUUGCAUACUUUUGUAAUUUUUUAAUAUAGAUUCCUAAGAUACAUACAGUUUUGUUGGUCUGUUUUCACUUUCCAGCAGAUUUUGGAAAUGUUUCUCUGCUGUAGUUCCUUUUCUCACAACUAGUUGAGCAUGUUUCCUUUGAUGUGUGACUCAGGCGUUUACAGCAGUGCCUUCUGUUCUCCUGUGGAGAAGUAGAGAAGGGGGAGUGGGAAGAGCCGGCUCCUCUGUAGACAGCCUUUGUCAGUGGCUCUGAGCUUUCCCGGCCUUCUGCUUCUUCCCAAUGGAGAAAGACUCACUGCCCGCUCUUUACUGCCUACCGGGAUUACUGUUCUAUUUUCCCUCUGCGAGUCCCACAUGAACGCCAAAGAAUUUUCCAGAGUAACCUAGACCAUACACCCAGCUUGCUUAGGUUGUGCAUAAAAGUCAUCUGUUGGGGAACUUCUAUUAGAUAUGAGCUGCCAGGUGUUAUAUGUAGAAAAAAAGGUGACACAGGAGAUGAACACUCACACCCACACCUGAACUGUGGAUCAUGCAGGUUGGAGACAGAACCCUCACACACGGAGCGAGAUAAUUUCUGCACUUAACUUGUUUCAGGUUGGUGGGUUGUUGUAAAGGAGAUGCAUAAUUAACUUACAAGAAAAGCCUUCGAAACGAUGGAACGUAAUCACCUACCCUUUUCCAGUCAAGCAAAAUAGGUCCUUCCCCCAUGCAUAUCUGUAAAUUGCAAUUCUGUGUAGGGAAAUUACUGAAUCUAACCUUAGGCAAUGGACAUCUUUUAGAGUUUACAUUUAAGCAGCAGAUCUCUAGGAAUUAAUUCUGAGACUGACUUCAUUUCUUUAGAAGAAACAGACCUCACACCAGAAUCCAAUUUUCAUGUGUGUUUGUAAAUGAGGAAGGCAGCUUCUCAUAGCGGCCGGUGUCUCCAUUAGUAAAAUGCUCAUUGUAUGGCUGUGGUAAUUACCGCAUCGCAUUUUCUCCAGGAAAACUGCCAGUAGGGAGAGUGAAUUUUCCAUCGUGUGUAGACCUAUUUCUUUUCAUAGAAAUUAGUGUGCUGAUUUUAGGACUCGGCCCUUGAAACUGCUUGUUGCUAAUGGAAGAAUUUAGCUCAGUUAUACAGAAUACGAAGAAUACACUUCUUAAACGUUUUCCAAAACAAAUAAUAU
rnacentral:lncRNA from 1 species